AUGGCCGGUUGUCGCGGUUCCUCCUCUCGCUCCCGUAGCACUAGGCCAGGCGACUGGGAGAGAUGCUCUGUUCCCCACAUCCGAUUAGUAGAGUUGCAGACCAAGGGGUUUCUCCCACCUGCAUGCAUGGUCCCCGUCCGAGCUGGACUAGCCACUUAUAAUGGUGGUGAGCAAGCAGAGAGCUUUCCAAACCCAUCCAAGGGAGAUAGGGUGUGCUUCAUCCCCUACUUGCUGAGGGGGCUUGGAUUUCCAAUCCAUCCUUUCCUCUGCGGGCUUCUGGAGUUCUAUGGCCUCCAGCUGCACAACUUUACCCCAGCCUCCAUACUGCACAUCCCAGGCUAUGUUGCCUUCUGCGAGCUUUUCCUGGGUUGCGAAUCUCAUUUCGAGCUGUGGAAGAGGCUAUUCUGCCUCGUACCCUAUACUCAGGAGGGUCGGUAUAUCAAGUGGGCGGAGCCGAAAUAUGGCGCAUCACCGGGACUGGAUAUCUAUCUGGCACCCCGAAGAAGACAUCCGAGGAUUGGCCCUCGGAAUGGUUAUACAUGGAGGACGUCCCUCUACCAGACCCUGUUCGGAAAGGCCUUCCGGAGUAUGUAA
rnacentral:rRNA from 1 species